CUAGAUCUGCAUUAAGCACCUGUUUCUCUGCAAAGUCACAGACAGCUCUCUGCUUUAACAGCACUUUUUAUUUUUUUUUGGUUCCCUCUUCAAGAGCAUUUGGAUAAUAAAAGAAAAGGCCAUUACCCUACACACACACCCACUACCAGCUGCAUUGAGAACAGGAAUGUGAAUUCUGUCAAGUAGUUGGCAGAGGAAGCCCAGCUCCCAGCUCCAAGCAGCCACACCACAAAUGGCGUCAACUUCAGGCUGUAUUUUGUGUCCUCUCUGAGGUCCCUUUUCUGAAAGGCUGGUGCUGUUUGCUGGGGGUUUACUUCAGGCCCUAUUCAUUUGGUUCGCUCCUGUGCCUGGAGAUGUCACUCAAGGAGGCUACAGAACAACAAAGGUGGAUGCCUGCUCUUUCCUCUGGGAUCUCUGACCUCCAGGGGCACCAACCUGAUGCCGGUAAUGCCAGUCGUCUAGUCUGCUCUGAUGAGAGAAGCUGGUUACCUCAGUUGCUGGUGCAAGAUUCCCAUGCUAUUACGGUUUUUUUCAAUGGGAGCCUCUGAUCGCCACUGCUUCUAGUCGGCCAUUUUGGCCCCGCCGCCAACUAAGAGCUUUUUAACAUUAAACUCUCUAUCAUAUAUUUUCAAAUAGGCAAUUAAAAGAAGAAAAAUAAUUUUUCAAAAGAAAACAGUUGUCACAGACCUUUAGUUAAGAUGCGCAUUUGAAUGACCAGGGAAAUUCUAAAAGAUAUUUAUUGUGGCUUUAACAUUUGAUACAAGGACAGAAUUAUUUUUAAAAACCCCUUAUAUUCUAUAAUUGUGGCACCUUUGUAGACUAGAAAAAUAACUAUAAAAUCUCCAGGCGUAGAAAAAAGAAUAAGUUCUAGUGUUUUCAAAUAUCCCAUGCAAGACAUGAUACAAUGUUCAAAGAAGAAAAAUGAUCUCCCAGCAUUAGGGAAGCAGAAAGGUGGUGGGUGGAACCAGCCACAGUCAUGACUCAGUUGGCCUUGACUGCCUCUUAGAAUUUCAGGAUAUUUGUGCUCUGUGCCUAAUGACCACAGUGUCUUAGGCUGCAUACCUUUUACCUGUUUUUUCACUGUGUGUCAACUAAUUAUUGAGUAAGAAACAAGAUAAAUCUCUGUAAAUUAUAUCUAUUAGAGCCUGACUCUAGGAAAGAAGCACCCCCUUCACAAUCCCCUUCACAAUCACAGUUCCUGAGCAUAGCACUUAUAUCUGCAUGAGGGCUUUCUGUAGCCCUGAGAGUCCAAGUGUGGUGCUCCCUGGGAAUGCUGGAGAGCUAAUGCUCCCUAGGAACAGCUUCUAACCAGUAAAUGGCAGGAGUCAGUAGGUUAAUACCAGAUCCUUUGUCACUUGGUUGGACAGCUCUCAGGCAUGUUCUAUAUUGUCUCCCAGAGGUCACCAGCAGAACUGAUUCCUGAUUGCCCACAGCAAUAAUCUACUGAAUACAAACUCUUCCCUGGCCUCCUUCUCUUUCCUGUCUCAUUCCUCCCCUCUCUUACCAGUGCUGCUUGGGAUCACCUGCUAAAUAAGCUACUUGAAUUCCCUUUUAUGUAGGCAAGUAUUGUUUUUGGAGAUCAACCCAAGAUAAGACUUGUAGGCUCCAGAACCCCUGAUAACAUAGGCACCUACAUGGACCAAAUACACAGCCCUUUCAUAUGAUGCAGGUACCACUAGGUUAAAUUUGGAUUAAAAUGAUGUAUUAGUCCAUUCUCACACACUAUAACAAUACUACCCAAGACUGGGUAAUUUAUAAAGGAAAGAGAUUUAGUUGACUCAAUUUACAUGGCUGGGGAGGCCUCAGGAAACCCAUAAUCAUGGUGGAAGGGGGAACAAGGACCUUCCUCACAUGGCAGUAGGAGAGAGAGAAAAACGAAGGAGGAAUUUCCUAACACUUAUUAAACCAUCAGAUCUCAUGAGAACUCACUCACUAUCAUGAGAACAGCAUGGGAGAAACUGUCCCCCACCCCCAAUCCAAUCACCUCCCUUCCUUGACACAUGGGGAGUACAGGUCUCUUCCUAGACACGUGGGAAUUACAAUUCAAGAUGAAAUUUGGGUGGGGACACAGAGCCAAACCAUACCAAGUGAAAAUCCACAUUUAGCCUCUAUUAACAGGAGUGAACCUAUUAUCCCAGCACUUUGGGAGGCCAGGGCUGAAGGAUCACGUAAGUCUAGGAGUUUGAGACAAUCCUGAC